rnacentral:rRNA from 1 species
ANAUCGGAACAUGUCCUGUAGUGGGGGAUAGCCCGGCGAAAGCCGGAUUAAUACCGCAUACGAUCUGAGGAUGAAAGCGGGGGACCUUCGGGCCUCGCGCUAUAGGGUUGGCCGAUGGCUGAUUAGCUAGUUGGUGGGGUAAAGGCCUACCAAGGCGACGAUCAGUAGCUGGUCUGAGAGGACGACCAGCCACACUGGGACUGAGACACGGCCCAGACUCCUACGGGAGGCAGCNNUGGGGAAUUUUGGACAAUGGGCGAAAGCCUGAUCCAGCAAUGCCGCGUGUGUGAAGAAGGCCUUCGGGUUGUAAAGCACUUUUGUCCGGAAAGAAAUCCUUGGUUCUAAUAUAGCCGGGGGAUGACGGUACCGGAAGAAUAAGCACCGGCUAACUACGUGCCAGCAGCCGCGGUAAUACGUANGGUGCAAGCGUUAAUCGGAAUUACUGGGCGUAAAGCGUGCGCAGGCGGNUUGCUAAGACCGAUGUGAAAUCCCCGGGCUCAACCUGGGAACUGCAUUGGUGACUGGCAGGCUAGAGUAUGGCA